AAACACGAGUCUCGCUGUCUCCUCCAUCUGAUAUCCAUUGUUUGUUGUUUCUGAGAUUAUUAGGGCGUGGCUACGUAUCUGUGGACACACAAGCACAUGUGGGGGGGGUUUUGGUUGUGGAUGCAAUGUUGGGUAAGGACACAAAUGUGUGGAUACGUAUUGUUGGAUACAUGAACUGUGGUUGGGUUAUAUUUUGAGGAUUUGGUGGAUACUUAGUCGUGGAUACGCAAUUUCCAUGUCUAUGUCGUCACUGACCACACCAUCAUUGUCCACAUCUCUCUGUGUCUCCAUAUAAUGUUACAAUUUUUCAAUUUUUAUCCUGAAUUAUACAACAUGUACGCACUCCCCUAUCUAUGCUUUCUUAUCUACACUUCCCCAAAUCAUAAACCC
rnacentral:lncRNA from 1 species